rnacentral:rRNA from 1 species
GAUUCGUCACACUAUCAUUAACUGAAUCCAUAGGUUAAUGAGGCGAACCGGGGGAACUGAAACAUCUAAGUACCCCGAGGAAAAGAAAUCAACCGAGAUUCCCCCAGUAGCGGCGAGCGAACGGGGAGGAGCCCAGAGCCUGAAUCAGCAUGUGUGUUAGUGGAAGCGUCUGGAAAGGCGCGCGAUACAGGGUGACAGCCCCGUACACAAAAGCGCAUGUGCUGUGAGCUCGAUGAGUAGGGCGGGACACGUGGUAUCCUGUCUGAAUAUGGGGGGACCAUCCUCCAAGGCUAAAUACUCCUGACUGACCGAUAGUGAACCAGUACCGUGAGGGAAAGGCGAAAAGAACCCCGGCGAGGGGAGUGAAAAAGAACCUGAAACCGUGUACGUACAAGCAGUGGGAGCCCCACCACUAAGCCAGUGGUGAACUCCACAUCCG